rnacentral:lncRNA from 1 species
AUGGAAAGGUCUGGAGUGUACGGACGGCGUAACGUUAUACCAUGGCAACUGAUUACUGAGAGUGAUACAGAAAACAGAGGGAAGAUGAACUCGACCUCACCGAAUCCAUUCCAAGAAAAUGUGGAGUUGAAUCAGCACAAGACAGGGUUUCUAACCCAGGACCAAAACUGCGUAAGGCCACCAAGAAACAAAAACAUUUGAAGCCAAAUCCCUGUGGCCCCAAAACUACUAAAAGACCUGCUGUGUUGGGCGGUGGAAGUAAAAGCACAUUACCCCUAACCUUGUAUUGUACCGUUAUGUCAAGUUAUUUGAAUUGGUUGGUUUUAUGUGUAAACAGUGUGAUGUUACUGUGCUAACCAUGGUCUGUGUCAUUGUGUUGAUUUUUGGACUUGCAUACAUCUGAAGGCCCCAGCACCGGUGUCAUCAAUGGUUGCCUUCAAGAAGCCUUGACUAAUUGCGUAGCCGAUUGGAACGACACCCAAAUUACUAUAUGGGACGAAGACGAUUUUGAGACUGAUUCUGGUGUGGCUAAUCCUGAUACCCCAUUUGCCGAGGAUUUGCCAAGCAACCAAGAACACUCCUGUUUGGAAGCACAAAGGUUAGAACUGUUUUUUUAAACCUCAACAAAGUGGUGUGGGGGUUGACACUGAGGACUUGGAUGAUACGCCAAGAGCGAUUAGCCAACUAUCAGAUCGGCGAAAGACGCAAGAAAAACACAUAAUUGAACUCUGUGAUAUUGUUAAAAAACAGACGAAGAGAUCAGCGAACUCACCAGAGCUGUUCGCGAGGUGGUUAACGUAUGUGACGGAGUGAAAUAUUCGCCGUCACUUUAAAUAGCGCAGAAAGACGUUGGGGAAAUUGUUUGGGUUUUAUGUGAGUGCUUGAUGAACGGUUUGACCAGGGUGAGACGGAAUCGCGGGUGGAGCGGCAUGGCGCCGUGCUGUGAGCCAAUGAUCUGAAUCACUCACUCCGGGAUACAAACAAUAUCACGCAAACAAUGGAAGCUUACCUGCAGCAUAACCAGCCGUGGCCAAAGGCGCGUGUUUGUGAACAGGACUUCCUUAUUCUGGCCGGAGGGCCAAAGAAUGGACUGUUCCAUUUUAGACAGGGGUGUUUUUGUUUAUAUAGGAUAAUAUCCUUAUAGCUGGCUGCCAGAAGCUAAAUUGAUAUGUUUGUGCAUGUGGUGAUGCGAGAUGUAAAU